GGGUUGCCAACCCGCGAGGGGGAGCUAAUCCCAUAAAGCCAGUCGUAGUCCGGAUCGCAGUCUGCAACUCGACUGCGUGAAGUCGGAAUCGCUAGUAAUCGUGGAUCAGCAUGUCACGGUGAAUACGUUCCCGGGUCUUGUACACACCGCCCGUCACACCAUGGGAGCGGGUCUCGCCAGAAGUAGGUAGCCUAACCGUAAGGAGGGCGCUUACCACGGCGGGGUUCGUGACUGGGGUGAAGUCGUAACAAGGUAGCCGUAUCGGAGGGUGCGGCUGGAUCACCUCCUUUCU
rnacentral:rRNA from 1 species